CGCCCGUCGCUACUACCGAUUGGGUGUGCUGGUGAGAUGUCGGGAUUAGUGGCUGUGGGCGGUUCGCCGCCCUCUGCCGCUGAGAACUUCAUCAAACCCUCCCACCUAGAGGAAGGAGAAGUCGUAACAAGGUUUCC
rnacentral:rRNA from 1 species